AUCUGAGUUUGGGCUCUGGGAUCUAAAUUUGGGCUCUGGGAUCUGAGUUUGGGCUCUGGGGUUUGGGAUAUAAAUUUGGGCUCUGGGAUUUGGGAUGCUGGUGAGAAAUUUCACUGCAUGACAUCCCGUGUUUCUGCUGGUGCACCUGGAUAUUAAAUCCUGCCUCCGUGCCUGGUGAUUAAACCGAGCCUGUGGGCUUGAUGGAGAAGAGGGAGCGGGAUGAAGGCACUGGCACAGACAUCCAUCUCCUCCCUGCUCUGUGCUCCUGCUUCCAACCACACCACGGGGAGUAAAUCACCCCAAACCACGGGGAGUAAAUCACCGACACUCCAGCCAGGAGGGAACAAAUCCCAGUGGGAGCCGUGCUGGCAGAGCCAUGCCAGGGUCACUGGCUGUGAGCCCUGCCUGUCCCUCAUGUCCCUGCCUGUCCCUCGUGUCCUGCCUGCCCCAGGGUCUCUCCAGCACUGCUGCCAUCCCUCGGGACCCUGCUGGAGAGAUGGACACACAGACAUACUGAAACUGCCAUUUCUUGCCUGGUUUUUUCAUCACUUUACUGCACAAGACCCACCUCUGCAGCUGCUGAAUAAAACCUGCUAAACUGCAGGAUCCAGCCCCCCCACCACCGUGCCCCCCGACACUUUUUCCCCUGGUGCUCCGGACUGCCAGGUGCUUUCCUGUGUUCUGCUGGAGCAGGUCCAGCCUCAUCCUUUCUCUGCGUGCUCCGGGGAUUGGGAAAGGGGUCAUUCUCUGCGGGAGGGAGGAGAUGGCAGCUUCUUGAAGCCUUGGACGUCUCUUCCCUGGCCAACUUCCCCCAUCCCAGCAGGCACAGCUGCAUCCCUGCUCCCUGUGGGAAAGGAGCCAGGGCUGUCAGCCCCAGAGCUGGGAGGAUGCUUUGCAAACGUGCUCCCGAGGCUUCUCUUGCAUCCCCGAUUGCCACGGACCCGGGAUUCGCAAGGGCACACACUGAGUGCCUGUGGUGCACGGGGUACCCGGGUGCGAUGGAGCACACGGGAUGGAAAGGGUGCAUGGGAUACCCGGGGAAGCACACGGGAUGGAAAGGGUGCAUGGCAUACCCAGGAGGAGCACACGGGAUGGAAAGGGUGCAAGGCAUACCCGGGGGGAGCACACGGGAUGGAAAGGGUGCAUGGGAUACCCGGGGGGAGCACACGGGAUGGAAAGGGUGCAAGGCAUACCCGGGGGGAGCACACGGGAUGGAAAGGGUGCAUGGCAUACC